rnacentral:rRNA from 1 species
GAGUUUGAUCCUGGCUCAGAACGAACGCUGGCGGCGUGCCUAACACAUGCAAGUCGAACGUGAUCCAGAGCUUGCUCUGGUGAAAGUGGCGCACGGGUGAGUAACGCGUGGAUGACCUACCCUGGUAUCCGGGAUAACAUUCCGAAAGGGGUGCUAAUACCGGAUAAGCCCACGGGCUCUUUGGAGCUUGCGGGAAAAGGUGGCCUCUAUUUAUAAGCUACUGUACCAGGACGGGUCCGCGUACCAUUAGCUAGUUGGCGGUGUAACGGACCACCAAGGCGACGAUGGUUAGCUGGUCUGAGAGGAUGAUCAGCCACACUGGAACUGAGACACGGUCCAGACUCCUACGGGAGGCAGCAGUGGGGAAUUUUGCGCAAUGGGGGAAACCCUGACGCAGCAACGCCGCGUGAGUGAUGAAGGCCUUUGGGUCGUAAAGCUCUGUCAGAGGGGAAGAAAUGAUAUAGUGCUAAUACCACUUUAUCUUGACGGUACCCUCAAAGGAAGCACCGGCUAACUCCGUGCCAGCAGCCGCGGUAAUAC